UUCCUGGUGGCUCAGAGGUUAAAGCGUCUGCCUGCAAUGCAGGAGACCCAGGUUCGAUCCCUAGGUCGGAAG
rfam:Ovis aries breed Texel chromosome 2, whole genome shotgun sequence.